AAAGUAAACCAGGCAACCGCCGGUGGAGCGCCGCAAGGCCCCACGGGAGGAAAGUCCGAGCUCCACAGGGCAGGGUGCCGGCUAACGGCCGGUGGGGGCGACCCUAAGGCUAGUGCCACAGAAAUGCAGACCGCCGAUGGAAGCGCUUGGCGCUUCACAGGCAAGGGUGCAACGGUGCGGUAAGAGCGCACCAGCAGCAUGGAGACAUGCUGGCUAGGUAAACCCCACCCGGAGCAAGACCUAGUAGGGGAUCGGCACGUCGUCGAACGUGCAGCUGUGGCCCGCAGCGAUCCCGGGUAGGUCGCUGGAGCCGUGCAGCAAUGCACGGCCUAGAUAGAUGGUUGCCACUCCAAGGGGUGGGAGGCGGGGCAAGCCGCCGCGAUACCACUCGGAGUACAGAACUCGGCUUACGGUUUGCUUUCCUC
rnacentral:RNase_P_RNA from 1 species